GCGCGAGUGGUGGAAUUGGUAGACUCGCUGGCUUCAGGUGCCAGUGCUCUUUACGGGCGUGCGGGUUCGACUCCCGCCUCGCGCACCA
rnacentral:tRNA from 1 species